GAUCAUGGCUCAGGACGAACGCUGGCGGCGCGCCUAACACAUGCAAGUCGAACGGAGUUAUUUUGGCAGAAGCCUUCGGGCAGACGCUGAUAUAACUUAGUGGCGAACGGGUGAGUAGCACGUGAGUAACCUGCCCUUCAGAGGGGGGACAACAGUUGGAAACGACUGCUAAUACCGCAUAAGACCACGGUGUGGCAUCACACAGAGGUCAAAGGAGAAAUCCGCUGAAGGAUGGG
rnacentral:rRNA from 1 species